rnacentral:misc_RNA from 1 species
UCCGGUUUAAUUCGAAGCAACGCGCAGAACCUUACCUGGGUUUGAACUUCUGCUGAUCGGCUCAGAGAUGAGCAAUCCUCUUCGGAGGCAGCAGGAGAGGUGCUGCAUGGCUGUCGUCAGCUCGUGUCGUGAGAUGUUGGGUUAAGUCCCGCAACGAGCGCAACCCUUGUUCACAGUUACUAACGCGUAAUGGCGAGGACUCUGUGGAGACUGCCGGUGAUAAACCGGAGGAAGGUGGGGAUGACGUC